AAUAAUCGAUUUCAGGAAGGAAUGUCAACAGCAAUCGAGAACAGGUAAGUCUUGAAGUGUGAAGCAUUGUAGUCUUCCACAAGUAGUUGGUUUGGUAACUAUUUCCCUCCCCAACAGUUCGUCGUUUAUCCCCGGCUUGGUCGAUGAGCUUCUUCCCGGGUAAUUUAUCAUCCCCAUUAGAGUUGAACUGACAAUCGAUCCCCUUUGCAAAUUCAUUUUCCCUAGCUGAGGUGCUCAUGUUUGG
rnacentral:lncRNA from 1 species